UUGGGAGCUCUCCCAUAUGGUCGACCUGCAGGCGGCCGCGAAUUCACUAGUGAUUCGUAUUACCGCGGCUGCUGGCACGGAGUUAGCCGGAGCUUAUUCUCCCGAUACUGUCAUUAUCAUCUCGGGUAAAAGAGCUUUACAACCCUAAGGCCUUCAUCACUCACGCGGCAUUGCUGGAUCAGGCUUUCGCCCAUUGUCCAAUAUUCCCUACUGCUGCCUCCCGUAGGAGUCUGGGCCGUGUCUCAGUCCCAGUGUGGCUGAUCAUCCUCUCAGACCAGCUAAGGAUCGUUGCCUUGGUGAGCCUUUACCCCACCAACUAGCUAAUCCUACGCGGGCUCAUCCCUGGGCGAUAAAUCUUUGGACUUUCGUCAUCAUCCGGUAUUAGCUUCAGUUUCCCGAAGUUAUUCCGAACCCAAGGGCAGAUUCCCACGCGUUACGCACCCGUGCGCCACUAGACCCGAAGGUCUCGUUCGACUUGCAUGUAUUAGGCAUGCCGCCAGCGUUCGUUCUGAGCCAUGAUCAAACUCUAAUCGAAUUCCCGCGGCCGCCAUGGCGGCCGGGAGCAUGCGAC
rnacentral:rRNA from 1 species